UACGUAGGGGGCUAGCGUUGUCCGGAUUUAUUGGGCGUAAAGAGCGUGUAGGCGGCCAUGUAGGUCCGGUGUGAAAACUCGAGGCUUAAACCUCGAGAUGUCAUCGGAAACCAUUUGGCUAGAGUCCGGAAGAGGAGAGUGGAAUUCCUGGUGUAGCGGUGAAAUGCGCAGAUAUCAGGAGGAACACCAAUGGCGAAAAGCAGCUCUCUGGGACGGUACUGACGCUGAGACGCGAAAAGCGUGGGGAGCGAACAGG
rnacentral:rRNA from 1 species